ensembl:snRNA U4 U4 spliceosomal RNA
AACUUUGCACAGUAGCAGUGUAGCCAAUGAGGUUUAUCUGAGGUGCGAUCAUUGCGAAUUGAAAACUUUUCCCAAUACCCUGCUGUGACGACUUGCAAUAUAGUCAGCAUUGGCAAUUUUUGGCAGUCUCUACAGAGA